GACGAACGCUGGCGGCGUGCUUAACACAUGCAAGUCGAACGUGAUUUUUGUGGAAAUUCUUUCGGGAAUGGAAAUGAAAUGAAAGUGGCGAACGGGUGAGUAACACGUGAGCAACCUACCUUACACAGGGGGAUAGCCGUUGGAAACGACGAUUAAUACCGCAUGAGACCACAGAAUCGCAUGAUAUAGGGGUCAAAGAUUUAUCGGUGUAAGAAGGGCUCGCGUCUGAUUAGCUAGUUGGAAGGGUAAAGGCCUACCAAGGCGACGAUCAGUAGCCGGUCUGAGAGGAUGAACGGCCACAUUGGGACUGAGACACGGUCCAAACUCCUACGGGAGGCAGCAGUGGGGAAUAUUGCACGAUGGGGGGAACCCUGAUGCAGCGACGCCGCGUGAGCGAAGAAGGUUUUCGAAUCGUAAAGCUCUGUCCUA
rnacentral:rRNA from 1 species